AGAAUCAACGCUGGCGGCGUGCCUAACACAUGCAAGUCGAACGAGAAAGUGGAGCAAUCCAUGAGUAAAGUGGCGCACGGGUGCGUAACACGUGACUAACCUACCCUUGAGUGGGGGAUAACCUAGAGAAAUCUGGGCUAAUACCGCAUAAUACCUUCGGGUCAAAGGAGCAAUUCGCUUAAGGAGGGGGUCGCGGCCGAUUAGUUAGUUGGCGGGGUAAUGGCCCACCAAGACUAUGAUCGGUA
rnacentral:rRNA from 1 species